ACAGUGGCGAACGGGUGAGUAACACGUGGGUAACCUGCCUUCGGAUGGGGGAUAGCAUUAGGAAACUAGUGGUAAUACCGCAUAACACCGAUUGGUCAUAAGACCGCUCGGUCAAAGGCGCUUUCGGGCGUCGUCUGGAGAUGGGCCCGCGGACUAUUAGCUUGUUGGUAGGGUAAUGGCCUACCAAGGCAACGAUGGAUAGCCGGCCUGAGAGGGUGUACGGCCACAUUGGGACUGAGAUACGGCCCAGACUCCUACGGGAGGCAGCAGCUAAGAAUAUUCCGCAAUGGGCGCAAGCCUGACGGAGCGACGCCGCGUGGAGGACGAAGGCUUUCGGGUUGUAAACUCCUUUUCUUAGGGAAGAAUAAAGUUGGCAGGAAAUGGCCGACCGAUGACGGUACCUAAGGAAUAAGCCCCGGCUAAUUACGUGCCAGCAGCCGCGGUAAUACGUAUGGGGCAAGCGUUGUUCGGAUUCACUGGGCGUAAAGGGCGUGCAGGCGGUGUGGUAAGUCGGAUGUGAAAUCUCCAGGCUCAACCUGGAAACUGCAUUCGAAACUGCCAUGCUUGAGUACCGGAGAGGGAAACGGAAUUCCUGGUGUAGGGGUGAAAUCUGUAGAUAUCAGGAAGAACACCGGUGGCGAAGGCGGUUUCCUGGCCGGAUACUGACGCUGAGGCGCGAAAGCUAGGGGAGCAAACAGGAUUAGAUACCCUG
rnacentral:rRNA from 1 species